rnacentral:misc_RNA from 1 species
AAUUCUCAACCUUUUGAGCUUCUGUCGAAGCUUGUGAGGCUUGGAUUCUGGGAGUUUGCUGGAUCAAACCGUCAGCUCUCCUUAAAUGUAUUAGCAAGAUUUCAAUCGCUGAAAUCAUCUUUGAUAUGAUAAUUAUCUAUAUCAUUGGUGAACCGGUGAUAUCUGGCUUCUAAUUAGUCUUCAAAGAAGACAUCGUUCAAAAUC